GUCACGUGGAAGAGGCCAGAUCGAAGAAAUCAGUGGAAUGGAGGCCGUUACGAAAGGGUGUGUGAGACAAGAGAAAGAAAAGUUUGUGUUGGAUGCUUUCGUAGAUUCAUACACUACCUACCUGAAACGAUUUAUUAACCGCUAAACAUCGAGGAACACGCCAGGCCGUUUACACCACAUAAAAUUCUUAUGGAAAAGUGUCAGUGGCCAGAACAUAAUGUUCAUGAUCCAUUAGCUACUGAACAUGUAACACUUGAUCCAGGGAUAUAGACACUGUGUGUUACGAUGAAGAAAGUCAUGACACUGCAGCUACUGAAGCUACUGUAAUUGAUCAAGAGGGACCUCCAACAGGCAGGAAAAGGUGUCUUCUGAACAGAGGUCAUAUUUAAGCCAGCAUGUUGCAGCAGUUUAACACCAGGCAAACCUAAAAAAAAUAAAUGAAAAUCGAAACAAACAUUUGUAACUAAACCAAAUGCAAUAAACAACUGAAUUUAAUCUUCA